CUGAGCGCCCUGCAGCAUGUCUGGUACCGGAGAUGUCCGUUAAAGCAGAUGUAGCGUAGUCGGCUGGCUGAAGCCUAGCGGUGAGUGAGCGCUGCUGUGGCACGGAACGAGCACUUGGCAGGCAUUUAUCAAGAGGCCGCUCGUAUAUUUACAUGCAAUGCUUGGAAGCCCUGACACUGAUAGAUUGACGCAGCAGGGCUUCGAUAUAUGCUGGCACAUCGACUCUUCAUAACUGUGUCAGAUACUUUACACCUGGCACAUGUACUGGAAAUGGCAUUUCCCAAUGAGUUCCAUCAGCAGUGUGUUUGAUCACAGAGUUCACCUUUGGACACAGAAUAAAGCCCCACUAGACAGACAGCAGAUGGAGUAUGUUUCUAGGAUGUAAGCAGUUUGAUGGAUGAGGUGAACUGAUAAGGAAAGGAAAGAGAAGAUUAACAAUGAAGGAAUCUGAGAGCUCUCCCGGCUUGGUAAUCAAUGUU